UACGUAGGUGGCAAGCGUUGUCCGGAUUUACUGGGCGUAAAGGGAGCGUAGGUGGAUAUUUAAGUGGGAUGUGAAAAUACUCGGGCUUAACCUGAGUGCUGCAUUCCAAACUGGAUAUCUAGAGUGCAGGAGAGGAAAGUAGAAUUCCUAAGUGUAGCGGUGAAAUGCGUGAGAUAGUAGGAAGAUACCAGUGGCGAAGGCGACUUUCUGGACUGUAACUGAACACUGGAGGCUCGAAAGCGUGGGGGAGCAAACAGG
rnacentral:rRNA from 1 species